rnacentral:rRNA from 1 species
GUCGAACGCAGUAGCAAUACUGAGUGGCAGACGGGUGAGUAACAUGUGGGAAUCUGCCUUGUGGUUCAGGACAACAUUGGGAAACUGAUGCUAAUACUGGAUAAGCCCUUACGGGGAAAGUUUUAAUGCCAUAAGAUGAGCCCGCAUUUGAUUAGUUAGUUGGUGAGGUAAUGGCUCACCAAGACAAUGAUCAAUAGCUGAUCUGAGAGGAUGAUCAGCCACACUGGGACUGAGACACGGCCCAGACUCCUACGGGAGGCAGCAGUGGGGAAUCUUGCACAAUGGAGGAAACUCUGAUGCAGCGAUGCCGCGUGAGUGAAGAAGGCCUUUGGGUUGUAAAGCUCUUUUGUAGGGGAAGAUAAUGACUGUACCCUAAGAAUAAGGUCCGGCUAACUUCGUGCCAGCAGCCGCGGUAAUACGAAGGGACCUAGCGUAGUUCGGAAUUACUGGGCGUAAAGCGCGCGUAGGCCGUUGAGUUAGUUAAUUGUGAAAUCCCAAAGCUUAACUUUGGAACUGCAAUUAAAACUGCUCGACUAGAGUUUGAUAGAGGAAAGCGGAAUACAUAGUGUAGAGGUGAAAUUCGUAGAUAUUAUGUAGAACACCAGUUGCGAAGGCGGCUUUCUGGAUCAACACUGACGCUGAGGCGCGAAAGUAUGGGUAGCAAAGAGGAUUAGAUACCCUCGUAGUCCAUACCAUAAACGAUGAUUGCUAGAUGUUGGAAAUUUAUUUUCAGUAUCGCAGCUAACGCAUUAAG